rnacentral:rRNA from 1 species
ACAAGUAGUCAGAGCCCGUUAAUGGGUGAUGGCGUGCCUUUUGUAGAAUGAACCGGCGAGUUACGAUUUGAUGCAAGGUUAAGCAGUAAAUGUGGAGCCGUAGCGAAAGCGAGUCUGAAUAGGGCGUUUAGUAUUUGGUCGUAGACCCGAAACCAGGUGAUCUACCCUUGGUCAGGUUGAAGUUCAGGUAACACUGAAUGGAGGACCGAACCGACUUACGUUGAAAAGUGAGCGGAUGAACUGAGGGUAGCGGAGAAAUUCCAAUCGAACCUGGAGAUAGCUGGUUCUCUCCGAAAUAGCUUUAGGGCUAGCCUCAAGUGAUGAUUAUUGGAGGUAGAGCACUGUUUGGACGAGGGGCCCCUCUCGGGUUACCGAAUUCAGACAAACUCCGAAUGCCAAUUAAUUUAACUUGGGAGUC